ACGUUCGGGUAAUCGCUACAAUCGCUUUGGCGAAUUGUAGAGGAAAGUCCAUGCUCGCACGAGCUGCGAUGCUCGUAGUGUUCGUGCCUAGCGAAUUCAUAAGCUAGGGCAGCUGGGUUAUCCAGCUGACGGCCGGGAAAAUACCUAAGUCCUAUGGGAUAUGGUAUGAAUACCUAUAAAAGUGCCACAGUGACGGAGCCUUUCUAGAAAUGGAAAGGGUGGAACGCGGUAAACCCCACGAGCGAGAAACCCAAAUUAUGGUAGGGGCACUUUCUCUGAGGAAUUGAACAAGGAGAAGGACAGAGUCAUUGAGAUUCUGUAGAUAGAUGAUUACCACCUAAGUACGAGAUGUUAAAAUCGAUUGUAGUACUAUGGUACAGAACAUGGCUUACAGAA
rnacentral:RNase_P_RNA from 1 species